CGGCUUUUAUCGUUUUAUGUUGUGCAGAUUCUUAGUUCACCGUAAAUAUCUCUUGAUUUGUACUCAAGAGUGGAGCAAGGCCCCAAGGAACAGAGAUUGACGCAACGGGAGCGAAGAACAGAAGCGAUGGAUGGUUACGCUGGUUGACUCUCGGCAUGUUCAAAAUGGCGAAGUUCCGAAUUUGUCGCUGUGUGACGUGCGCGUGUGUGGUCGUGGUGUGCCGUCAUAGCGCGGGGAUAUUUGUGCUGAAUGUGUUUCACUUCGUCUACAAAACUCUGCACGCAAUGGCAUCGAAGAAGUCGUGUGUUCAGGUGCACGUAUGUGCAUGCUUGGAUACGGAAAGCCUGCCCUCAACGGUAGCGCUAAGCUCAGCCGUGUUGGCUCAGCGCUACCCCCUUCAACGGAUGUUCGUCUACGUGCUCGUAACUUGCUCACGAGACCUCCUUGCUGUUGCAACUCUGAGGAAAAUUGCUUCAAAUGGGAAGGAACAACCAGCACUGCCAGCGCUAUUUGUACAUGAACCUCCUUGCUGUUGCAACUCUGAGGACAAUUGCUUCAAAUGGGAAGGAACCAGCAGUGCCAGC